AUUGAACGCUGGCGGCAGGCCUAACACAUGCAAGUCGAGCGGAGCGGCGGACGGGCGAGUAAGGACUAUGUAUCGGCCUGGUCGUGGGGGGUAACGACCGGAUACGGGCGCUAAUACCGCAUACUCUCAGAUGAGCCUAGGUGGGAUUAGCUAGUUGGUGGGGUAAAGGCCUACCCAGGCGACGAUCCGUACCUGGGCUGAGAGGAUGAUCAGUCACACUGGAACUGAGACACGGUCCAGACUCCUACGGGAGGCAGCAGUGGGGAAUAUUGGACAAUGGGCGAAAGCCUGAUGCAGCCAUGCCGCGUGUGUGAAGAAGGUCUUCGGAUUGUAAAGUACUUUAAGUUGGGAGGCGUUACCAACAGAAGAAGCACCGGCUAACUUCGUGCCAGCCGCCGCGGUAAUAC
rnacentral:rRNA from 1 species